rnacentral:rRNA from 1 species
UACGAAGGGGGCUAGCGUUGCUCGGAAUCACUGGGCGUAAAGGGUGCGUAGGCGGGUUUUUAAGUCAGAGGUGAAAUCCUGGAGCUCAACUCCAGAACUGCCUUUGAUACUGAAAGUCUUGAGUAUGGGAGAGGUGAGUGGAACUGCGAGUGUAGAGGUGAAAUUCGUAGAUAUUCGCAAGAACACCAGUGGCGAAGGCGGCUCACUGGCCCACAACUGACGCUGAGGCACGAAAGCGUGGGGAGCAAACAGG